AAAAGCAACGUUACCAUUCCCUCUCCCAUAUGCUCCAACUUUUAUGUCUGUUUUGCCAUCUAUUCCAUUAACCUUAUGAUUAAUGAAAGUCUCCAGAAUUUUAAAUACCUUGAAAGGGAGCCAACGCCUGGUCUUUGGAGGCUAUGUUGAAAAUAAACAAUGAUAAAAACGGGGAGAUGCAGGCUUUUGAAGUCCUUAAAGACACGACCACUGUGAUCUUGGUACCACGGUGCAGAAAAGAGGACAGCAUUUCACAUUUCUGGCAUUACUAACGACAACACAGCCACUGAAAGCGAGCAUGAAUCUCUAGGAGUAGCAUUAGGAUACAGGGCUCCUGCUGAGCUCACCAGUUCCUUGCUCUGCACAGCUGCCUUCUCAGCUGGGGGUUUUUAAAUCAGCACAGUGAGAAAAGAUAGCAAUGGCCAUGAUGCAUCUUCCUCCCUAUGAGAAAAAGUUAUGGGAGAAGGAUUCUGAACUUCUUGUGGCUGUGCUGACAUCAGUAAGAGUUGGAGAAAGUAUACAUUUAAGAAAACGUAUACAUUCCCACCCACAGGAUAUUAAGAUUUUGAUUCUGCAUUCCGAGAUUUCAAAGCUGGAGUUGAUAUUUUCAAAUAAACAGUUCUUUAAGAGACACAGGAACAUCUUACGUUAGGACCAUGCCACGAAGGGGCUGUUUUUAAAAAGGAUUGUGGGUGAUUGUCUCCUAUGCUCAGAUGCUCGAUCUAAGGCAGUGGUGUUUGGCAGAAAUCAGUGAUUUUUUUAGAACGCUGGAAGGUGCCCACAACUGGCAUGGGUGUAUUAUUUGUCAGUUCAAAGCACCUAUGGACAGUCCUUUGCUUUUCCAUACAAGAGUGAGCUUAGGAAUGCUUUGCUUCAUUCUAGAUCAAGCUGCCUGUAGGUAUAGACCCUUUCCUCUGAUGCCUUAUUGCCAGUGACAUUAAAUACAGUAUAUGAUAAGAGUUUAUUAGUACUGUACUUUAGUCAACAUUUGUGCAAUCAUAUAUGAUGGCCCCCAAGCAGAAGAUUCCAAUAGAUGGCAGUGAUCCCAUUAGUGAUCGUGAAAGUCGUCCUACACAAUAACCCUCCUCUCUCUUGUCUACCUCGCACCUGCCACGAAGGUUUUCAAAGGUAAGUGUAGGUUCAUUUGUUUAUUUUACUUUGUAUUUUCUUUAUUAUUUUGUAUUAUAUUACAGUACUAUAAUUAUUUUUAUGUGGAUAUGUUUGGGUUGUAGAAUGAAUCAUCUGCGUUUCCAUUAUUUCUUAUGGGGGAAUUCGCUUUGAUAUACAAGUGUUUUGGAUUACAAGCAAGUUUCUGGAACGAAUUAUGCUCACAAACCAAGGUUUUAUGAACAUCACAUAUAGGUCAAAAUGGGUAAACUUCCACAGUCAUCUUCAUACAUUUGCUCAUUACUUUCUCAAGACUUUCUUAGGAUUCUGUUUCCAGGAACAGAAUUUCUGGUCAAAGGUAUGGGCAUUAGCAUUUUGAUGGAUCUUGCCAAACUUCUGGUGAUAGCUUAAGAAGCUAUUGCUUUUUCUCCUGAAUUGUUGCCAAUGGUGGAUUGAAUACAAUUUUUUUAGAAGUCUUUGCUAGUUUGAUAAGUUAUCAGACCCUUAGCCAUUCAUUGCCUGGCUCUCCAGGUCUUGAUCCAUAUCCAGGGCUCUUGUGUGGCUUCUCAUGAAUCUGGUGUUAUAAUAAUAAAGACUUUAAAACCCCGUUGUCUUUCUCAAGGGCAUUUCUUACUACUUAAAAAGAUGUUUAGGUCUUACUGCUUGGGUCUCCAUAGUAGUCUGCAUCCUGGACAACUAGAGCGGGAGACUCUUCCAAAUUGAUGGUGAUAAGAGUGCAAGGCAAUUGAAAGGUAGACUUUUUUGGACAAGGCAUAGGACCAGAUUCCGUGGCUUGACUUCCAGCCUGUAAAGAUGAACUAACACGUGGGACUUUGUUUUUGAAUCCCGCUAUCCAGCAUUUUGUUGAGAGAACCCAUGCAAUAUAGGCAAAGUUUCUGUUCCAUCUUUAGCUUCUGGUAUAGAGACGUCUCUGCCAUGAAGUUGAACUGUGUACCACUGACUGGCAUUACUCCGGGGAAAAUGACAUCACAAGGAAUGGGUGGGCUAGUUCCGAGACUUGUGCAUUUUUCAUGGUUUCUACCUCCUCAUUCCACUGCUGCUGACACCUGGAAUCCUCUCGACAUCCAGCGUUUAAUCAGACAGAUACCUCUGCAAUCAUUAUUCUCAUUUCUUCGUUAGAAUGUGAGCUAUUUAAGGUCACCAAAUCUUUGUAAAUGAUCUUCAUAUUUCCCACACUCCCGAAGGACUUAUUUGGGAUUCAAGAGAUACUGAAUGAAUUAACUUUUAACUGUGACUCAUGCUUCUAAGGAGGAAUGCAGACAUAUCAAAGGUAUAACAGAUUUCUAAGCUUUUUCUCAUUUUAUUGCCAUCAAGCAUAUUCAGACUACUUCCAUUUUCUUAUACCUCAAAGCUUUCCCAAACAGCAUAGAAGGAAAAAAUGACAAGCCCUGGCAAUCAUUCCCCAGGGCAUAAGUCCAUUUUACAUCCCAGAAAGUUGGUGAUACUCAAAAGGCAUUUGGUAUCCAGUGAUUCAAAGAUGUCCUUUUUCCUUCUGUCUCGGGAGUGUUCUGGUUCUUUGGUUAUGGCCUCACCAUGCCAUGAUGCUGAUGCAUUCUUUUGUUUCAAAGGUUUGGUCCCUUCCCCCAUUUGGAGGCAAGUACUUAUUCAAGGUACUAUUUGAUAGAGUGCUGUUUGUAAUAUUACCUGGGGAUGUCAUAAAAGAGUGCUAUAAUAGUUUAUAUAAUUUAUUUUCCCUGGAAAACACAUUUAGUGCCAUCUUAAAUAGUCUUGGGUUUAGAACCAUUUUCAAAAGAAGAAGGUCAAGAUGACGUCUAGUCUUAAGACUAUGUUAUCACCUUUGAACCAGGUCCACUUGAAAGGAUUCAUUCAGUUUGGGGUCCAGAACCAUGAGCAGAAAAAAAAUGAGGGCUGGGUUUAUUUUUCUCUUCGUGCCUUUGAUAAUACAGCCUUUGUUGGAAUAUUUAUAUUUGUAAUCAUUUCCUUGCCUUGCACCAAAUAACAAUUGUGGAUUGAUACCUACUUUUUUCCAUCUUGAUUCUGGAAUUCCAGGCAACGACUAGAGGUAAUAACUCAUGAAAUUUGAUCUAUAAGAAGUCUAUUACUUCAUAAAAAUUAGAGAAAGAUACAUAGAACAAAGUGUUUUUCUGGACACAAUGGGAUAUUUUGAAUGUGUAAUCAUACCUUUGGUUUAUGUCAGUGGUUCUCAGACCUGUGUGAACAUCAGAAAUCCCUAAGGUGCUUUAAUAAUAAUGAUAAUAGCAAUAAUAAUAAUAACAAUAAUAAUAAUAAUAAAAUGAUAAAUAACAAGGCUAAGAUCCAAGCCAAAUAUUCUGCUUCAAUUUGGGGGAUGGACACUGAUAUUUUUAAAACCCUUAAGUGAUUCUAGUAUGCAGUUUGAUGAAAACCAUUUAUCUAUGUAACAAUACCCCCCUAUAUUCUGAUACUGUCUUUUACUAUUUCUGUAACAAUUCUGUGCUGGUUUUCUUAGUUUCCUGAAGCAUUUGUGACAUUGCAUCUCUCAAAUCUCCUUUAUGCUAAAAUAAGAAAAUUGCUUAUAAUUAUAAAGUAGAAAUUUUAUUGUUGCUGUACAUUUUCUCUCAGAAUAGGUUUUCAAGAGGUGAACUGACCGUCACUCAAGUAUGUGGGGAAUGCAAUGAUUUCUUUGGUUUCUCUGGUUUUCUCAAGGCUUUGUACAGAGGUCCUCAGACACUGUGAAACCUAACAAUUACCUGCUGAUAAAUAUAUACAGUCUUGUUCAGGAGAUGCCAACUCAGCAAUCUGCUUUUAGCCAGCGAGAAACAACUUUAAUCCCUUGCUGAGAUGAGUUUCUCCUAACCCGAUGCUCUUCAAAAUCAAUCACCUCUUGUGUUACCUAGCCACUGUCUGCUUCUCAGCUGCAUUUGGCCUGUGGGUCUUUGGGAAGGUCACGUGACCUUUCUUCUCUGUAAAAAUGAGAGAGAGAGAGAUGAUGGGGGCUUUCCAAGACACUUUUAGUUAAAGUUUAUUUAUUUAUUUUGAGAGAGAGAGAGAGAACACAUGGGAGGGGCAGAGAGAGGGAGAGAGAGAAUCUUAAGCAGGCUCUGCACCAUCAGCACAGAGCCCAGUGUAGGGCUGGAACCCACGAACCGUGAGAUCAUGACCUGAGCCAAAACCAAGAGUUGGUCCCUCAACUGACUGAGCCACCCAGGCGCCCCUCCAAGGUACCCUUUUAACUUUAGGGUCAAUGAACUAUGAUCCAAAUAAACACUUCAAUUGGCAGCCCAGUGAACAUUAUCCAAACCUAACAGCAAGAAGAAUAGCCUUCAUCUUAUCUGUAAUUUUAAUCAACCAAUUAAUUCAUUUAUUUAUUUUCACUUACUUAUGUUUACCAGUUUAUUAUAUAACAAAGGUAUAAUAAAGGAUCGGGAAAGAUUUUUCUGUAGCAGCUAAUUAUAGCCAAGCCUUGUUGUUAUGAAGGGCUGUGGACGCCUAGUAUGUGCACAUUCAUAUAGCAAUUCCUUUAAAAAUACAGAACUGACAACAUCUAAGGCCUGAAGCUGGCCGUCAUAGGAGUUAUACUGCUUUAUCAGACACAGGUCCUGGUCUUUAGAAGUUCCCUAUAUCUUAUUAGGGAGCUAAGACAGGUACACAGAACAGAAAAUACAGAGUCACAAGUCUGAGAUUGGUACACGCUAAUCCUAGCAGUUUCAGGGAAACUGACACUAGCAUGAGAUGUAGAGAAUCCUGAGCAAAUGAAAAGUCCUCCAGCAACUCUCCCAGCACCCGUUCUUGCCAUUGCAAUCACUCUAACCUUUGAAAAGUUAUUUUUUGAGAUAACUGUAGACUCACAUGCCAUUGUAAGAAAUAAUACAGAGGGACCCCACACACCAUUUAUCCAGUUUCCACUAAUGGUAGUUUACGAAACUUGCAAAACUAUAGUACAAUAUCAGAACCAGUAUAUUGACAUUGAUACAAUCCACCAGUAUUAUUCAGAUUUUCCCAGUUUUACUUCAACUAGUGUGUGUGAGUGCGUGUGUGUGUGUGUGUGUCUAGUUCUCUGCAACCUUACAUCUGUAGGUUUCUCACCCACCAUCAUAUUCAUGAUGCCGAACAGUUCCAUCAUCACACAAUCCUUAUCUUUGCUCUUUUACACCCACCCACUUCUUUUCCUUACCCACUUCUCCCUUGUCCCUAAACCUCAGCAGCCACUAAUCUGUUGUCAUGUCCAUAAUUUUGUCAUUUUAAUAAAAUCAUGUAAAUGGAAUCAUAUAGUGUGUAACCUCUUGAGACUGGCUUUUUCAUUUAGCAUCAUUUCCUUGAGAUUCAUCUGAGUUAUUACUUGUAUCAAGACUUCAUUUCUGGUUAUUGUUGUUGAAUAGCACUCUGUGGUAUUCCAUGAUAUGGAUGGACCAGAAUUUGUUUAACCCUUCAAGCUUUGAGGGCCAUUUGUGCUGCUUUCAGUUUCUGGCUAUUUCAAAUACAUCCACAAUUAAUGUCUGGGUACAGGUUUUUGUGUGAACCGAAAUAUCCAUUUCUCUGGAAUCAGAUGCCUAAAAGUGCAACUGUUAAACAGCAUGGUAAUUGCACAGAUAAUCUCUUAUAAAUGCAUUUGAUUGGGUCCCUCACCUGUUUAAAUCCUUUCAAUGGCACCCUAUUAUUUUAAGCAUCAUAAGAGCCACAUCAGGGCCUAACAAAGCCCUGAAAUUUCUGGAGUCUGCUGUUCUUGCACUCCUAAUCUAAUGCCUUUCCCUUUCCCCAACUCUCCCCUCCAGACACAUGAGCUUUGUUUUAAUUUCUUAAAAUGACGUGUUUUUGUCCCACCACAGAUGCACCUGCCCUUUAAUGGCAGCAAAAUGCCAAUGAGAUGGUUGGUCUGCAACUGAGUUGGAAUAAAUAUGAAUUCUUUUUUCCCCCAUUAUCCAGCUCGUAAAUCCCAUGCUUUUCAUAUUAAAUCCAGCUUUCUUAAAACCUAUUAUUUUUUUUCUAUAAUAAAGCUCAUAACACCCAUGUUCUCAAGGGUACAUCUUUCAAUCACCUCCACCACUACAUCAUCUUGUAAGAUAACAUGUCCUAACGGUUCCACUUUCUACCGAGUCAAUAUGUACAGUUGACUUAAUCUGAGUUAGUGGUUAUUUAUUUUGAUGGAUCAGUUCUAUUUCCUGGGUGGCAGGAGUUACUUUUUAUACAACUUGAUAAUUUAGUGCUAUAUUGACAGGAACUAACUUUAUUAAUAUGGGGAUAUCUGACCAGUGUUGAAUAAUGGGUUGCUUUUACAACAAAAAUACCCAGCCAGUUGGAUGGUCUUUAAAAUCAGGACCAACAGAAAAAAAGUUUACUAUUAUGAAAUGAAAAGGAGAUUUAUUAGCUUUCAGUAUGUGGUCCUUAAAUAUGGCCUUAAUUUAUGCCACAAAAACGAAGCCAGUGGCAAAUUUAUGUGGAGACAUAGAAGUAAAUAAGUAAGUAGUAAGUAAAUAAAUAAAAUAAAAAAUAAAACAACUGUGUUCUGUUUUCCUGUACCAAUUAUUAUGCCAAAUAUUUUCUUCACAUCCAUUUGAAUUAUCUCCCCACACAUGUAGCUUAAUAUUGAAUAAAACAUAAACUGCUAAUUUUAAAAAUAUAUAGUUUGCAAGCAUUACUCUUUCAACUUUACAUCUUAACUUUUCUGUUCUUCAACUUUUAGUUUACCUCUUAUCCUUCCUGAUUUUUAUAUUAAAAAGAGAUUAGAAGAAGUAAUCACAAUGUUCUUUUCAUUCCAAGAAUUAGGUAAAGGGUCUCAGAGUUAUCUGCAAAAGGGACAAGUUCAACAAUGAUAUAUCUGACUUUCAUUUAAGACAGCAAACUGGUAUACUGGAAGAAAGAGUCACAUUGAAGAAAUUUACAAAAGAAUUUUCAGUGAGAAUUCUUUGCACUGGUAACUGUAAAUUUUAAAAUCUUCAUUCUUUUCAUGGGAUUCAGACUCUCAACAGAAAUAAAAUUUCCUGUGGCAUUUAAAUUAUAUUAGGUAGGAUAUUUAGUUUUUAUUUUGUAAAGCGUACGACCUCUAAAACAAUCCCUGCCGGUGACACGGAUGCAUCUAAAAUAAACAUGGUUAGUUGUAGCAAAGGACAGCACGAAGACAAUAAAUUUAAUUGGUAAGUAACAGACAAGUUAAUAUGCUUCACAGAGAACCUAAUUUUCUGUACAUUAAGGUACAGAAUCAUAAUUUCAUUUAUGUGCCUUGCUGAAUUGCCACGGCACUCACACUGGAUUGCCAAACGAAUAAAAAUGCAUGUGUCCAUGCAACGGAUCUGAAACUUAGUAGUGCUGAUAUGCACACACAGAAAUAAAGAUUUCUUGUGACCGGUAGAGGCUAUCAGUUUUCAAUACCUACUGCUUUUGAAAUAUCAUUAAUUUACUCCCAUGGUUUUCCAUUUGUCUAUUUAUUCAUUCAUUGAGUUACACAUUUAUUUAACAAACACUUGCUCUGUGCCUAGCAGGUACCCAACACUGUACUGAGCAUAGUGAUGCAUUCGUGAGCAAAAAACCAACAGGUUUCAAGUUAAGAGUCCGGUGGGAGAGUCUGACACUCGCAUACAGUAACAAACUUGACUUUUGUGUUGAUACAAAUGCUCAGGAGGAAAGGAACAUGGCUUUUGUGAGUUACACCAAAAGACCCGGUUUAGAUGCAGGGUUUUAGGAAGGUUUCUGGAGGAAGUAAAUCUUUACGUUAGACCUGAAGGCUAAAUUGGAGGUGAUGGAGGGGUAAGAGGAGUGGAUCAGAAGGAGCACUCCAGGCAGAGGAACAGCAUAUGCAAAGCCCAGGAAGAAGAGAGUUUGUCACACCUAAGACAUGAGAGAAGGCAAUUGUGCAAUUACAGUGUCAAGAUACAAUAGAAAGUUCUAUGGGGUGGGGUGGAAGUGUAUGCAGGGACUGGACAAAUGACAAACCAUUCCAACAACUUCUGCAAAAAAGAGCCAUUUUUCCUACUGCAAGUUACUAUCAACAUUAUACACUAGUACAAGUAAGUAAUAUCGGGACCAAGAAAACUAGCAAAUACAACAUAGACUUUUGAAACAUAAAACAUAAAA